rnacentral:rRNA from 1 species
GGGGAAUAUUGCACAAUGGGCGCAAGCCUGAUGCAGCCAUGCCGCGUGUGUGAAGAAGGCCUUCGGGUUGUAAAGCACUUUCAGCGGGGAGGAAGGCGGUGAGGUUAAUAACCUUGUCGAUUGACGUUACCCGCAGAAGAAGCACCGGCUAACUCCGUGCCAGCAGCCGCGGUAAUACGGAGGGUGCAAGCGUUAAUCGG